rnacentral:lncRNA from 1 species
UGAAAUAAUUAUCAUUACUUUUUCACCUAGAGUUACAUCAAAAAGAACAUCACUAACAGUAGUUGCAUAGAUAUAUAAUAUUGCAAUUUUUCCACCUGGCUAUUAAAGGGUGAUAAAUUAAUCUACUGCAGUGUACAUGUUGCUUAUCUCACAACAGGAGAUUACCACAGACUGAUAAGAUCUUGUCUGCUUUAUAUUUAGAAACUCUACCAAGAGGUCAGCCAAUGAAAAUAAAGUCAGGGAACUACUUCUGGCGACUGUGCAUGUACCACAAAAAGUAAUCCUUAACUUUUUGGGUUUUUUAUCAGAGUAAUCUUUAAAAUUUGUGUGUAUCUAAAUGGAAUAAAAUCUUACUCUAGAACAGAAAUAGUUUCAACAUCAUACAUGUAUCUUUCAUUAGCUGACUGUAAAUGACACAUUUGCCCAAGAAUAUCAAAAAUUCAAUUCUAAACAGGAAGUUCUGUGAGAACAUGAUGGAGUUAUUUCACUACAAAGAAGUUUAUUUAUAUAGCUCUUUGAUUACUAUGUGCAGUUUAUAUUUAACAUGGAAGUUUAAGAGUGAUGAAAAUAAUACAAAUGGUAUAGCACCAUAUGUCAUGUAUGUAUAUACGGUAUGGCACACAUGAAUGAAUUGGGACCUUAUCAACGUAUUGUGUUCAAAGAAGACCUAACGAAUCCAGCAGUUCAAAACAUGUUUUGCAGUGAGACGAAUGGUGACAAUGGCUUUGUGGCAGUUAGUGAAAAACUGUGGCAUUUUACACUGAUGAUGGCUACCAUUUACAGAAAAUUUCUCAACCAAUAGUGACAUUCAAUUGAAAGUAACAGCAUAUCUUACACCGACUAUACAUCAGAAUGUUGUUGAAAAAAGCCAUGGCAAAAAGUGGAAAAUACUGAUCAAUAUACUUCAAUGACUUUGGAACUGAGUAGAAAAUGGUGACAUUUUAGCACCAUAUUGUGUGUAUACUUUUUCUUGCAUCCGCACAGUCCGGCCAGGAUCCAUGCUGUUCACUAAUGGUUUCUAUGGUUGCAAUAGCAUUUGAAAGCGAGCAGCAUGGAUCCUGACCAAAUCGAGCUGAUGCGCAGGCUGGUCUGUAGCCAUGCUGAUCGCAAAGCCUCUAUGUUGGUUUUCUCCUAGCACGGCUCAUAUAUAAAUUCAUGUAUGUAAAUAAUGUUUUGCUUAUGGUAUUUUGUCAGCACAGGUAAUGAAAUACUAAAAAAACAUAAAAUAUUUUGUUAGUGUUUUGUUUAAAUUUGUGACCUUGCUCUUUUGCAUAUCAUAUGUUUUGUUGGUAUUUUGUUAGCAGUGUUUUGUUAGUGUUUUCUUUAUCACAUAUAAUGAAACACUAAUAAAACAUAAAGUAUUCUGUUAGUGUUUUGUAUAAGCCUAAUUUGCAUAUCAUGUUUUGUUGGUAUUUCGUUAGCAAUGUUUUGUUAGUGUUUUGUUAGUGUUUUGUUACCUCAUUUGCAUGUCAUUUGCUAUACUAAUAAAACAUCAUCAAAACACAG